GCAAAUAGUUUACUCCAAAACUGGAAACCUACGGUGGGGAACUAUGGGGACCAGGCAAGUGCCAAUGGGUACUCGGGUAGUGUUGGAAACGGCGCUAUCUCCUGUGGGAAAGGAGUCUGUAUACAAAG
rnacentral:ncRNA from 2 species